AUGUUUCGUGUGAGUUGUUGGGAUUACUAUGAUUUUGUUUAAUUAUUGUUGUGAGUACAGUGGUGUUGUGGGAUUUGGAGUAAUGUGAAAUGAGUUGUGAUGCCCUAAGGUUGGUAGUUGGUUUAUAUUGUGAGACAUUUAGCAUGAUGUCGUGGUUGUGCCGUUGAGGCAAAGGAAUGGUGAUCAGAUAGAUUGUGGGGACGUAAAAUGUUUAAAAUGUUGGGAGUUAUUUGUAUAGUUGGAGAUUGCGGGAAGUGAGAUAAAAUGAUUUGAGAGACAGAGCAUGUGGAUUUUAGUUGGGUUGAAAUUAUUGAGCAUGAGAAAGAUUUAUUUGAACUUGAUGUUUUUGUUGUGAUGAUUGCUUAUUGAUUUUGUUAGACUGAGAUAGUGAAAGCAUGUUUUUGUGGAAUUAAAUGUUAAUGCUUUAAUUAUCUCACGAAUUGAGGAAUUAUAAGCAUGAGUGACGUGAGUCACUUUAAUUGAGUUUACUCAUACGGGCUGAAAAGCUUACCGGGUUU
rnacentral:lncRNA from 1 species